rnacentral:rRNA from 1 species
GACGAACGCUGGCGGCGUGCUUAACACAUGCAAGUCGAACGGAGUGGCGAACGGGUGAGUAACACGCGGGAGACCCGCCUUGCACAUCGGGAUACGCCUGGGAAACUGGGCCUAUUACCGGAUAGCGUAAGAUGAGCGCGUGGCCAAUCAGCUUGUUGGUGGGGUAAUGGCCUACCAAGGCGUCGACGCGUAGCCGGACUGAGAGGGUGAACGGGCACAUUGGGACUGAGGUGCGGGCAAGACUGAUACGGGAGGCAGGGGUGGAGAAUAUUGCGCAAUGGGCGGAGGGCUGGUGGAGGGACGCCGGGUGGGAGAUGAAGGCCUUCGGGUUGUAAACGCCUUUCGGCAAAGACGCGGUACCUGUAUAAGAAGCACCGGCUAACUACGUGCCAGCAGCCGCGGUAAUUC